rnacentral:rRNA from 1 species
GUAAGAAUCUAGCUUCAGGUUCGGGACAACAGUUGGAAACGACUGCUAAUACCGGAUGUGCCUACGGGUGAAAGGCUUGCUGCCUGAAGAAGAGCUUGCGUCCGAUUAGCUAGUUGGUAAGGUAAGAGCUUACCAAGGCAUCGAUCGGUAGCUGGUCUGAGAGGAUGACCAGCCACACUGGGACUGAGACAAGGCCCAGACUCCUACGGGAGGCAGCAGUGGGGAAUUUUCCGCAAUGGGCGAAAGCCUGACGGAGCAAUACCGCGUGAGGGAAGAAGGCUCUUGGGUUGUAAACCUCUUUUCUCAGGGAAUAAAAAAAUGAAGGUACCUGAGGAAUAAGCAUCGGCUAACUCCGUGCCAGCAGCCGCGGUAAUACGGAGGAUGCAAGCGUUAUCCGGAAUGAUUGGGCGUAAAGCGUCCGCAGGUGGUACAACAAGUCUAGUGUCAAAGGCCGGAGCUUAACUCCGGGAAGGCGGUAGAAACUGUUGAACUAGAGGGUCGUAGGGGUAGAGGGAAUUCCCAGUGUAGCGGUGAAAUGCGUAGAGAUUGGGAAGAACAUCGGUGGCGAAGGCGCUCUACUGGACGGCACCUGACACUCAGGGACGAAAGCUAGGGGAGCGAAUGGGAUUAGAUACCCCA